rnacentral:misc_RNA from 1 species
GAUGAAGAACGUAGCGAAAUGCGAUACGUAAUGUGAAUUGCAGAAUUCAGUGAAUCAUCGAGUCUUUGAACGCACAUUGCGCCCCCUGGUAUUCCGGGGGGCAUGCCUGUCCGAGCGUCAUUGCCGCCCUCAAGCACGGCUUGUGUGUUGGGCCCCCGCCCCCCGGCUUCGGGGGGCGGGCCCGAAAGGCAGCGGCGGCACCGCGUCCGGUCCUCGAGCGUAUGGGGCUUCGUCACCCGCUCUGUAGGCCCGGCCGGCGCCCGCCGGCGACCCCAAUCAAUCUUUCCAGGUUGACCUCGGAUCAGGUAGGGAUACCCGCUGAACUUAAGCAUAUCAAUAAGCGGGGA